GGUAGAAAGAGUCUAUGUAGGACUAUGCUUCACAAUGUCAAGGGUUUUCCUGAUGGCAACCUCAAGCUUAUGGGAUAUACGUGUUUUCUGUAUCUGCUUAUGAGCUUGAAUUCCUUAAGAAUUAAACAGUUUUUGUGGGGUGAAAUAAAGACCAGGAGUGCUCAACAAUUCCCUGGCCAAGAAAAAAACUCCCAUAAGACAUGGCCCUGCAGCAAGAGUUCAGAAGCAGGAUUCCCCACUGAAAUGAGAAGCAGGGAUUCCCAUGACCAGCAGCAGCCUCACAGCUGGCAAUCAAUCGUCAGCCUCAAUCUUCUCUGGAUUGCUUGCAUGCUCCCAUCAGGUACGGUAGCAGUUCACAGAAAUCACAGUCAUUAUCCAGCCUCUGCUCUUGGAGAGAAGGAAGCCCUGGGAGCUGCGUGCACCCUCUCCUUUCCCAAGACUGUGCCCCAACCUGGCCAUCCCCAGGUUGCAAAGCUCUGCCUCACAAGACAGGACCAAGCCUGAGAAGAUUAACAGCUGAGGCAGGAAGAAGGGGAAAGCAUGGAAGUAGAGCAGAGAAAUCAGUUUUAAACUCACCACCUUUGUGGGAAAUCCCAGGGUUCUAAUUUGUCAUUUCAUUUUAUUCAUUGUGAAACGGACUCCCCCCACCUUCCCCGAGAGCUGGGAGCCCAGCAGCAAAAGGCAUUCUGCUUUAAAACCCCAAUGACCGGGGAGUCGUUGGAAACUUAGCUUCGCCCUGCUUCUAAAAUAACAAUGGCAGCGUUCAUUCUCUUAGGGGAUCACAAAGGUAAUUAAUUUUCUUGGAAACUGCCUGCCAUGACCCUACUCAGAACCAACCCAAGCAGCCAUUUCAACAGCAAGCAUUCAUUCAUUCGUCUCUACCCUUUGACUCCUGGGCUGGCCACUGCCAAUUCUACAGGCAUUUAUUAAGCCUUUACUACCACGGGUCAAGCCCUGGGCUAGGUGUUGCUGAAGCAGAGGCAGAAAUGAAGGAGUCCCUGCCUUCAAGGGGCUUAGGGGUUCGUUUGGAGGUGAAGGGGUGGGGAGGGAACAAUAGAUAUUCAGGUAAGGAGAAAUAAAUAUGAGAUACAGACAAAGUGGGGACCA
rnacentral:lncRNA from 1 species